AGUGAACGCUGGCGGUAGGCCUAACACAUGCAAGUCGAACGGCAGCACAGUAAGAGCUUGCUCUUACGGGUGGCGAGUGGCGGACGGGUGAGGAAUACAUCGGAAUCUACUUUUUCGUGGGGGAUAACGUAGGGAAACUUACGCUAAUACCGCAUACGACCUACGGGUGAAAGCAGGGGAUCUUCGGACCUUGCGCGAUUGAAUGAGCCGAUGUCGGAUUAGCUAGAUGGCGGGGUAAAGGCCCACCAAGGCGACGAUCCGUAGCUGGUCUGAGAGGAUGAUCAGCCACACUGGAACUGAGACACGGUCCAGACUCCUACGGGAGGCAGCAGUGGGGAAUAUUGGACAAUGGGCGCAAGCCUGAUCCAGCCAUACCGUGUGGGUGAAGAAGGCCUUCGGGUUGUAAAGCCCUUUUGUUGGGAAAGAAAAGCAGCAGGUUAAUACCCCGCUGUUCUGACGGUACCCAAAGAAUAAGCACCGGCUAACUUCGUG
rnacentral:rRNA from 1 species